CCAGGAGACUUUAAGGUCAGGAGGGAGGGGCUCUGCCUGUUCUCCUUACAUGGAAUUCCCACCAGCCCCUAACAGGGGAGUAAGCAUUCCUGGAACUGUUUACAGCAAUUACAGUGACCUCCGACAACCGCGUGUGCAUUGGCAUGCAAACGUCUCCAAGAGCCAUUGAGCCAAAACACUGCCAGAGGCUCCGUGUGACACCAGCCAAGCCCUGUUACUUGGGGGUCGUGAGUGUGACAUGCACCCACGGGAGAGGCAAGCACCCACCUGAGGACCAAGGGUGGGGCUGGGGGGCUGCCGCAGGCCCUGGCGUUUUCCUCGAUGCUUCCUCAUCCUGGGUGGGCAGCCUCAGAGCCCCCUUUGCAUGCCUUCUGCUGCGAGAGCUGUUGAAUUCAGAGAGAUGUCCCUUCGGAGAACCGCGGGUGUGAAGUCGCCCUGCCACCUGCGGAGUCAGCAACACAUUCCCUUCUGGGGGGCAUGUGCCAGAGGUCCUGGGUGGUUGAGGCUCCAGCCCCGAGUGAGAGGCGACUGCAUUUAAACAGAUCUGAAAGCAGCUGUGAUGGUGGCAGGACCUCGAGGAUAAAGAAGAAACAGGAGUUUGAUUGUAGAAUCCAGUGAAAACGACUGAAGUGCACUCUUGACCCCUGUAGGAAGACUGGUGGCUUUGGGGGCGAGUCAGGAAACACGACCCUGCAGAGGCCAUUGAUGCCGCGGCCGCUAUUCAGUCGUCGUGAAAAUGAAUCCUCGAAAAUAGAAGCUGCAGUCUAGCUACUUGUUACGGUCACAGACCUUUUGAAGCUUUCCUCAAAACUGUGCCGACAUAAUUACCUAUUUAAUACACUAUUUGUUAUUAAUUAAAAAGAAUUUAGUGGCCUAAUUAAAGCUCGGCUGCCUUUCUUUUCUGA